UUUAGAGACAAAGUGCAAACUUGUAAUAAAUUGUAAUAAUGUAAUUGUAUUUGGAAGUUAAGCAAAUGUAAAAGAGAAAUAUUGCAUGAAGUGAAUGCGUGUAAUAACAGUUAGUUCUAUGUAUUUGAUACUUCCUUAUGUAAUCUGGAUUGAUAUCCGUUCCUAGUUGGAACAUUAGUUGAUUGUUUGGAUUGCGACGCCUAGAACGUAUAGGGGAGACUCUAUCCGCGUAUAGGGG
rnacentral:lncRNA from 1 species